UCUCUCUGUUUUUUUUGUGGCAGAAAAUCAAUGCCAUAAUAGCUAUUCCUUUUUGGCAAGAGACUGAUAGCAUUGGCCAGCACCCAGAAUAAUGCAAGCUGGAGAUAUAGAGCUCUGCCAAUGUACCUUAAAUCUCCUGACCUUCAGCAUCUCAAGAUUUCCAGCCCUGAGAAGAGAGCUUUCAGGAGAAGAGAUUGAUAAUUCUGCCUGGCUGCGAGACGGUGUCCAAGACAGAACUCCAGUGGGAAACUGAAAACCUCCUCUGUGCUGCUGCUUCUUUCACAGUAAGGUAAAUAAUGGCUGAUGCCACUGAAGCCAAGGGAACUGAUUACUGAAACUAGGGCUAAAGACAGCAAAAUCAGUCCUCCCAGGCACGUCCUGGCUCUGGGACCGCGCUGCUCUGGGUUUGCUCACAAAUGUCUGUUGGAUGAAAACGAGCAUGUGCUUGGGGUGAUUUUUCUACCCCACAGAUCAGCCUGUGUUUGGGAGAGGGACUCCUUGUGGAUACUGAUGUGCUGUUCCCCUGUGGGCUGUCCCCAGUUUGGGACAGGCUGGGUCCCAGACACUCUGAGACAGCUGAGCUGCCUGACCCGUGGAGAUUGCCACAAGACUGCAGUUGCAGUUCAGCAUCCCUUGGCUUCUGGGAGUGCACCUUGUGCUGAUUUUACCCUGAUUAACCUGCUGUGCUGCUGAUGUGCCAAGGUAAACUCGCCCAGUUCUUGAGACAUUAACAUUUUACUUCUUGCUGAACGGGAGGGUUUGGUUCACUAGUCAAAGCACGGCUCUGGGAGCCAAAAGCGCUGACAUCUCAGUCUGCCUUGAGCAAUGACUUACCGCGUGACCUUGUCCCAGAUGCUCUGCCUUAAUUUUUCCUUCUGUAAAAAUGGGUAUAUGAAUUCUCAGGAAUCCACCUUUCCAAGACUGUUUACUAAUGUGCAGAGCAGUAAUUUUUCCUGUUUGCUGCUGACUUGACUUGCUUCGUGAACCAGAGUGGGCUGCUGGAUGUUAUGAUGCAAAGGAAACAUUGCCCCAAGCUGAUGCCCAUAAUAUAAUUCCACCAUGAAAUACGGCUUAUGAAGAGAUAUCAAACCCAAGGAUUCUUAUGCAUAGCUCUAUCUUUUCACUCCUUUCAGAUUUAAGCUUGCAGUUCUGUUGUCUACAACAUGCUUGCUGCUCUAAUCCUUCACAUUUUACUUAAUCUGAGAAAAUUCCUUCCAGGGGAUAUUUUGAUGUGCAUCUGUAUAAUUUUUUUUCCUUAGAGUGAAUAAAACUAUCCUGCCCACAUACAAACAGGCUGAUGAUGAGUGAAAAAGCAGGGUUAUUUCACAGGUCUUAGAUCAAGUGCAUCUAUUAUAACUGUUGAACCUGAUCUUCUGCAUAGUCGAACUAUUUGCAUUUUGCCAAGAGAUUUUUGCAUGCCUGUACAUUUUUAUAUAAAUAAUAUUUGUUUAACUUCUUUUUCUUUUCUGAAAAAAAAAUAAAAAGAAAAAGAAGCAGCAGAAGACAGCAUUUCUUCAGACACAAGUGUUAGGAAAAAAGGAGAAGCAAUAGUUAAGCUAAACUGGAAAGUGACAGUGUACCAGAUGCAUUGACACUAAUGUGCCUCUUUAGAGUUCACGCCUAAAGGCUUUGUGUGCGAUGAUAAAUAUAUUUGUUUUGGUUGCUGGAGGUGCCCUUAAAUUAUUAAAAGACAAAACAAAAAAAGGACUUUUCAUUUUCUAGCCCCAUUAACUUGUUUCACUGGACCUGAGAGACUCAAAAAAGAGUACAGAAUUGAAAAAUCAAGGCUUAGAAAGCCCAAAAUUCAGUUAUAAUUUCCAGUCUUCCAGUUGUAUUUCGUGUUCCUAUCUGUCUAGGUCCAGUUAGCAGUGUUGCUUAAUCAUAAAUCCCACAACCUCUGACUGCUGCAAAAGUCUUUUUAUAAUAAGAGGGAAAAUAGGACAUUUUCAAUAUUUCUUUCUAUUGAUUUUGUGCAUGAAAGAGAGAGAGAGAGGGAGAGGGAAAGAGAAAAAUAUGCAAUUGUGAAAAUAUAAUAAUAUAGUACCAGUAUAAUUUUAGCUAAAAGAAAAAUCCAGGUUAGUGAGAUGGUGAAUGGGGGCUAAAAUGAAGACACUGAGGUGACGAGGUUCAUGGUUAAUGAAGCUUUGAUUCAAAGAAAUAGAGGUUGCCUCUUCUUUCUCUCUGGCAGGGAGAGUUUGCUGUGGUUUUCACCUACAUCUUUAGAUACCUUUUCUGUAUGUGCUCCCCCAGACCCCCUUACACACACAUCAAAGGCCUAAGUAUAAGAUUAGUUCUAGUGACACCAGCUGAUGUGUACAUAACAUACACAGGCACAGCCUCUGAUCAGACUAGGAGCAAGAACUCAGGAAGUCUUGAUUGAAAAAAAUAUCAGGGAGCAGUUAAGGCUUGGAGGAUGUUUAGGCAGGCACUGAUAAAGCAAAUACCACAGUAGGCAGCAGUGGUCACAUGCCUGGGGCUGAAGAACAGCCCCUGUCUAUCCAUCCUGAGAUGGGAAAGCUGUUUCAAGGCUAAAUAAAACAAAGGACAGAGAUUCCCCAGGUUCGUAAAAUUGUAAGCAAAGUCUCCCACAAACUUUCACGAAUUUGGCUUUUCCACAGUAAGAUGUAUUUAUUUAUUUUUUAUAAUGAUGCUCUUUUGGGCCAAGAAAGGUCCUUAACUGUGAUUACAUAUGGUGAUCUUUAUCCCAUUAAAUAUAUAAUAAAACAGAACCCUUGUUAGUGGUUUGCUCAGUAUUUUUCAAUAUCAAGUGCCAUUCAUUUCACAGGCAUCUUCACCACCAGGAACAACAUUUUAAAGAUGCUGUGGAGGAAAACCUGGACCAUCAAACAGAGAUAAACUUGAAUGCAAUUAUAGUGGCAAAUGAUUGUGUACCAGUGAAUCUUGGUUUAACCUAAGCUGUGCAAUCACCCUCUGCAUCCUUUCCAGCAUCUUAUUAUUAACCUCUUGUCUAUGGAAAAGCCACUCAAAAUGAAGGAGCAAAUGAGAGCAGUUUUAAUGUUGGGUUUUAAAUCUUAGCUGGGUCUUUUUUUUCAGGAACAAGCACAGUCAGAGCUGUAAGUGCAGCCUAUAAGGCUUCCCAACACUGUCCCUUCUACAUGACCCCUCUUUUCAAAAGCUUUGCCAGAAUUUUGUAAAAUUGUGGAGCAACUUAACUGCUUUGGCUGAAAUAUGGUCUGCCUAUUUAUGACCUUGUUUGGUUGUUUGGUUUAAUUUUGGUUUUGUUUGGGGAGGUUUUGUUUGUUUGUUGGGGGGUUUGUUUGUUAGUUGGUUUUGGUUUGGUUGGUUGGUUUGAGAGUUUUAUAAUGUUAUUCCUUUCCUCAAAAACCUCUGCCUUAAUUUCAGCAAAAAAUGAUUUGGCUGUAAGUUGUAAGAGGGAAUUGGAAAAACUGCUUGUUUUGCCCAGUUUCAUGAGAUUUUUUGGGAAGUCAAGCAUCCAGAUGUUCCACAGCAGACAUGAUGUCCCCCUUGUGCCAGGAAUGUGCCUUCUGCUACUCCUAUUAAAAUUCAUCCCCAUUAAUUUUAAUUAUUAGCCUCUGAAAUAUCUGUUUGCAUGUACUCAGAAGGGAUAUAUUGGAGUCUGCAUGCUAAGAUACCACCCACCCUGAGUGGGCUCCACUCCCUCACUGUGCCUCUUGGUUGGCAGGACUGGCUGUACAACUUACCUAAAAUACAUGUGGCUAAAUGUGUUGAUCUACAUUUCAUCCAUCUCCAUCCCCACCUGAGAAGGCCACACUUACUCUAAAGAUAGUUCAGAGCUGAUCCAUAUGGUCAGUAAAACUCAGGAUAUGAUGCAUUUCACCACCUUUGGUGAAAUGAUCAUCUUUCAUCAGAGCUGAACCCCAAGGUCUCCAUGCGAGGUUAAACACUCCACACUGCGGACAGGAAAAGUUAUUGGAGAUGAAUUUUGUCUCAAGCAACUGAUCAGUCCAGCACUGAAGGGAUUCAGCAGUAAAGUGUCCUGGGAAUCUGUCAUGAUGAAAUAUUUAGAGGGAGAAAUUACUUGUCUGAACAUUUGUUUAGCAUCAUUUCUGGGUGGAAUUUUUGACACUAUUUCUUCCCAAAUUAACUCAAGCUACUAGGGAUUUCAGGCCAAUUCCAGCUUCUCAAAUGGAAUAUGAAAAAGAAGAAAGAAAUUGCAAACCUAUGGAAGUAUCAAGCUAGCCAGAUGCAGUGAGGUGCCAGUGGAAUUUUUUAUUGUGCAAGGAUUAAGAAAAAAAAGUAAAAUGCUAUAUUAACUGGCAUUUUUAAACAUAGACUCAUAUUUCUGUGAUAGGAAAAACACUUGAACAAAUUAAUGUAUUUUAAAAAAAACAGACAAGGGUUUAAAUAUUUGGAGAAUAAUCAUGGAAAUUUGUUCUAUGGGAUAAUAUAAGACCUGGACUCAUAUAAACUCAAGUAGGAUUUCCUACUGUUAAAAUAUAUGUCUAGUGGGUGGUGGAAUAUGACAACCAAAUUCAAAUAUCAGUUUAUAUUAUGACUCUGGACUUCCUAGAUUCAAAUUCUGCUGAUGCUCUGAAGUAAUAGGCUCGUUAAAUUAACUUGGCUAUGCCUUAUUAACAGCAGGACAGCCUGCAGGUAGUCACUCUCUGCAUAUGCACUGAGCUUCCCUCCCCCAUCUGCUUUCAUGAUGGACAUUACAUAGUGUUCAAAAAGCUAAAAUGGCACUUUAGAAGAAAUUGGUGAAGCCCCAAUAUUGUCUUGAGAUUCUGCGUUCUUCUUUCUCCUAAGCCUGCUAAAUUAAAUUUUGUUCCUUACCCAGUUUCUGAUCCCUGUAUGAGUUCCAGAAAGAGCCAAGCAUGAGGAUGACCCUCUCUUUUCCAACAGGCAGGGAGAGCAAGAACUGCAGGGAUGCCAGAAGAAAUGGCUUUCACUGCAAAAUAAUCUGGGCUGAGAAAUGCUUGCACAGAAAUGUUUUUCUUUUAGAGUUGGACAUACAUCUGCCCCCUUAGCACAAGAAGUAGCUGUUCCUGGACAUUCCGCUCCAAAAGCCAACAAAAGAGCAAGGAACGGUCACUCCACAGAGAUACUUCCUAAAGACCUGCUAAGGAUGACAACAAGGGGUGGGCAGUUCUGUAAUUUUGUGAGAGGCUGAGGGUGCAGAUUCCCUGAUCUCCUGAUCUCUGAGUUGUCAUUUGCAUUUCUGUGCUGGAGGAGCUGGGCUCUCAGUGAGCAGCACCUGCAGAGCAGUGAGGGCCUGGGAGAAGCGAUCCCUGGUGACAGACGGUGGCAAGUCUGACCAAAUUGGUAACUUCUGUUGCAGCCUCCGUGAACUGCUCAUCCAGAAACUUCUCAGCUGUUUGUUAGCUUCUGCACUUGAGAACAUGACAAUCCCUGGUGUUACUGAAGGGUCUGUUUACUGCUACAAGCCUUAAUGGGAUGCAGCAUGUCUCUGCUGCGUGUUCUACCAGCCCUGGCUGCAAAAGGGAGGAGGGGAAGAAAGGGGAAGGGCUUUGCUCCUGACUGUUUUUUGCAUUAGGAGGGUUGGGAGGGAAACAGUCUUCAGUUGUGAAUGAAUGCUGCAUGCAGGUGCUGGGGUUUGCCAGUCCUUUCAAUGUCUCCACACUUUGCCCUAAAAAACCACGUGGAAAGGCUUGAUUUAUGAUUCAGUACCACUGGCCAGUCUAGGCAUUUCCAGCAGCCUCAAAAGAUACAUCAGUAACCUUGUAACGUUUGUUAUUCUAAUAUUGCUGAUCACAAUGAUGUAAAUAAUCAAAUGGCUUUGAGAAUUUGUGCAGGGUGUCAAGGAAGGAGAGGAAAAUAUCUGCUCAUGCUUUUUAUUUGGAAGUGCACUUCGGCCAUGGCUUUGUAAAAUUGGAAGCUUGAGGAAUAAUCAAGACUGCAAUGGACUGCUGCAGAUGGAGAAAGAUCUCACUUACUGAUCAUCACAAGUGAAGGAUGUGUCUCAAUCUUCUACUCGUCUCUACUGCACUUGUUGCCUGCUCUCAGGCUUCACAGGUAGAGGUGAAGAUUAUUUAUUUGGUAUUUGUAAAGCUGCAGAAAAUCUACUGAGGUGUUCCAGGGAAAGAAAAUUAAUAGUUUUGAUAUGCUUUCUCCGCUGGAAGACUUUGCAACCUGGUUUAAAUGUGAUGCUCAGUGUGAGCAGAGUGAAGAAUAGGAGAAGGGUCAAAGUGCUCAGAAUUUGUGGUGAGUUAGUCUGGUGUUUGUGUGUGUGUGUCUGUGUGUGUCAGUGCUGCUCCUUCUCUUCCAUGAAACAGGCAUCCAAAACUAAAGAGUCUGGCUAACCCAGGCUAUCCUCUUCCUGACUUUUGAAACAGGAAGGCUGUACUGUCCAUGGCCAAACAAGGUAGUGUCAUUUGAAAGUAAAAUAACCUUUUCUCGUCUGUUCACAAGGAAGAAAAAUUACCGUAAAUGUGUCCUCUUCUCUGGCAGCCAAGAGAGGACUUGCUCCCCUACCUGCCAUUGGAUCUUUCCCAUAGUUCUUUCUACUGUUUAAUGCAGUUUCAUGCUCCCUUGUGCAUCCAAACUUCUAUUGAUUACUUCAGUGUCCUUCUGGUUUCCCUGUAACUCCUUUAGCCUUUUUAUUUUUAUUCCUCAUUAGCAACAUCCUUCCCUAAUUUCUCUCACAUGUCUUUCAUGAAGUUCACAAGACUACACAGUCCUCACUACACAGUCCUCCUCACUGGUCCUUUUUGACAGAGAUUUUUUACAUGUUAGUAUUAAAACCAUCAGGAGGUGGCAACUACCUUAUAGGUGUAAGCAGGUGUGUUUUUUUGGGAAAUGUAAUAGGAAUUCAGAUCCAAAUUGCUAGUAUAGCAAUAAAAAAAUUAAGCAACCCAACCUGAAUAUCUGACAUCCACACAGUACAAGAGUUGAGGGUUUUACAUCAAUGUGUCAGUAGACGGAUCUCAGAGAUUACCAUCUGGGGCUGAAGUGCCUGAGCUGCAUUCUCAGGGAACCUUUUGGUUCAGUUUAAUCCAAAAUGAAAUAUAUUUCAGGUGCAAUGCCAUUUUUUUUUGUAGGGAAGUGCAGCAAGUACGACUGAGGAAUUCACUUCCAAGGCAAAUCCUCACCUACACCAUGUCUCUAAUGUAGACAAAUCCUGGAUGUCCAUCUUUAGUAGAAAGUGGAUAGUUUUCACUUAUCUCUGAGAAAUACUAAAAGUUCUACUAUAAAGGCCCUAUAAAAUAUACUGUAGGUUAGUCCUAAAGGUUUCAAGGAGCUGUGACUUGCUGGAGUAUGUCUUUCAAAACCAUAAAAGAGCUUCUCUUGGAAAAGCAUUAGAAAGGUUUCUUUUCUGUUUUCAAAAUCAGGUGCCUCAUGGCCCGAUGCAUUUUAUUUUCCAUCCAGAAAACAUUGUUUCCCUCUUAGAUAAGCUUCUUGUGAUUGAUCACAUUUUUAUGAGACUUGAUUCCUUCAGGUCUAGGAGAAACUCCAAACAUUUCAUGAACUACAACCUGGAGGCAGAUAAGCUUCAAGCAAUGGGUUGCUCGUCCCAUUUCCUUGCUUGUUAGGGCAGAAGCAGCCAAACAGAGCUACGAAGGAAAUGUGCUGAGCUCUCAGCUUCCCUGUAGGUAGCUUAUCUACCAUUGGUCUGGUGGAAUAACAUGACCUAGUGAUCUUCCUCUAUCUCUCGUCUUGGUGAACUCUGUCUUGUGAACACUCUAGGGAUCAGGAUCCAGAAGUGAGCUAAGUUAUCUUCUGAUGCAGUUUUGCCAACUGGAUCAUCUACCCACCAGUAACCCAUGUGUGAAAGGGAAUUUUUGGAGCAGAAAAUUAGGAAUGAAGAUGUUAGAGAAUUUUCUGUAUUGAAUAUCUGUAGGGCAGGGGAGGAGGAAAAAAAAUCUUAGAAGCCAGGAUGCUGUAAAGGCAUAUGUUUUGUGUUGUAUUUUAUUAGAUUUCCUAGUGGCUUUUGCUGUCUGUCCAAAGUGUGUGCCAGUCUGUUUUAUACUCUUAAAGUGCAGUGAUUCUGCGCUGAUCUGGUGUUGGUGGGUGGCUAAAUGUAAUUCAAAUAUGUUAGUCCAAACUAGUGGUGUUGAUACAUUUUUUGGAAAAACUUCUGAACAUCUUGUUCUGGCACUUUGUGCAGUCACAAGCUCUCUCAGAAGUUUUGCAGAGAUACUGCCUUGAGAUUGAGGAAGAGCUUGACCUGACCAUCACAGCUUUAUCCUAGAAGAUGCCAUACCAGUGAGGAGAAGGGGUUCUUUCCAGCUAGGUGGGAAAUUGCAGCUCUGGAGAAAGUCACCACAAAGCUUCUUUUCCCUGCCCAAGGUGGAAGAAAAGAUCUGCAUAAUUACUAAGUCUCACAGCCAUCAAAGUAUUCACAGGGUUAUUUUCCAACCUAGGAAGUCCAGUUAGGUGGAAAAUAUUCCUUUGAUUUAUGGUCCUGAGAUAGCCAGCUCAUAAAUUAAUGUUUGCAUUGGCAGCUUCAGUAUGUGCCUUUUACAUCUGAAGGCUGCAGGUAGCAGAGAGUGACAGGAAGGCAUCAGACUAAGAUGUGUAAAACAUACAGAAACUGUGUUUAUUUUCUGUGUCUCAAGUGAGAAGGCAUUUCACUAUGAAUGUUACACCAUGGCUCUUUAAAUGCUUCAUUAUUUGAAGACAUGACUUGGAAAUUAUUGAAAGCAAGAUUUCUGGGUGACAGCAAUCGGUGAGGAGAGGUAAACAAUGAAGAGCAAUGCAGUUAAGACGCAGAAGGUCUUAGAUCACUUUAAGUAAUUGGGCAAAAAGAUGACAAAUUCAGUUCGGUGCAGAUAAAUGUAGAAUAAUGAGCCUCAGAACAAAGAAUAUAAAGAAAGAAAUUGUUAAGUACGAGAGUGCCACAGCUUACUGACUAGCAAAGAGAUCUGGGGAACUAAUGGAGAGAAAACUUAAUGAUCAGGAUAUAACUGUUCCUGAAUGGGUGGAGUCACAGAGGAAUAAGAAAAGAGUCAAGAAUUGAAUUUUUCAUGGACAUAAAACUCUCUUAGGUUAUCUUGUCCAUCCUCUUGCAUCAGCUGAAAGACAAUUCUUUCUGCAAAGAACCCCAUUAUGUUGAAUUAUGAGGACUGUCAAGGUGAUUUAUAAGAGAGAUUUAGUUGGAGUGCGAACAUUUUUGCUAGCCAACACAAAACCAGGAAUGUUUUGGAUGAAAUUCUGACCUCACUGACACAGAUGUAAAUAAAAUCACCUGUGAAAUUUCCAGCAGAACCUCUCAUGCUAUAUGGAAGUAUAUACACACUUAUUUAUUCUUACAGCUGGAAUUUUACUCCAGGCUUUGCAAUACUGGGAUUAUAUUUACAGCUGCAGCUGAGACAGUGCAGAAUUUGGUGCAGAUGGGUUUUUUACCAGGGAAAUUCAGCAGACCUGUGAAGCCCAAACUGACUUAAGGCUGUUGACUGGAAUCCUACCUUGCCUCUUUCAUGUACUGCAGCAUGGUGAUUUAGUUCAGAUGUUGAUCUGAAUAAAAGGUUAUCUGCUCUCAGUAGACCCACUGACUUCAGAAGUACUAUUGGAGAGUUAGAGUUGAUUCCUGCAGUUAGAGUAUAAACAUGAAAGGCAAGAAUAGAAGCCGAAAACUGUUUUCUGCUGCUGGAAUCUGCACUAAAGUCCAUCUGGGAUCCAGAUCUGGUUGUGAUCUUCCUCCAAGGGCUGGUCAUACCCUUUGCAUUUAACGGGCACAGAAGCAGUCAGAGGAACCCAGACCCCCCUUUUCCCCAUGAAGUCAGAGCAGACCAAAGCCCUCUUGUGCUUUUACCUAACAGGGCAGUACAGGUUGUCCUCCUCUCUUCUUUUGAUGCAAGGGCUGAAGACCUUUCCUUCUGAAGCUUGGAGUUACAGGCAUGAGUGAGACACAUAGAAAUGACAACUGUGAGUGCUACAGGAUUGCUCUAAAAUGGAAAAAAACCCUGCUUAUGUCUUUUGGAGGAUGGACCCAUGUUGCUUCUUCAGGGAGGAUUAGGGGGCUUCAAGACCUUCAGUUCUGAAAAGACAGAGAAACCCUCCCACUACCCUGUGCCAGGUGAAGAACUGAUGAAAACAGGAUGCAGAGGAAUCCAGGGAAUCAGCACUGACUGCUGGAUCUUGGAUUUCAGAUGUCUGGGAUCCUUGCAUACCAGGAGGGUAUUAUGGUGCCUACAUCUUUCCAUGAAAAAAGCUCAAGAUCCAUAAGUGCAAUCUAUUUAGAGCACUGUCAUUUUGUUCAUUCAGCCUUGGAGAAACUUAACUCUUGGUAGGAAACAGCUGUAAUAUCCUUUUUUCAUGUCAAUGAGGUGCAUAUUCACCUGCAUCAUUAGCCUCUACCACUCCUUAUUUCCAAACCUUUCUUGGGGACCAGAAAAUGCUUACACUGUUAAAAAUCAUCAAUUUAGGAAGCUAACACUCAAGUGGAAUUUGAGAUGUUAAUUAAAAGUUUGACUCCCUGAUCUCUAGUUCCUUUUUUUUGUCUUCUGCUGGGCUCUACUUCUGAGGAGGCAAAGCUGAGGUGCAGGGUGGGAUGGAAGCAGAACUGAUGUGCUGAUGGCAGCAAGUCAUGCACAUCACACUGUGGUGGGCCCAAAUCAGCUCCCUUUGUAUAAACCAGUCCAUUUUAAGGGAGGUUUUUGGAGAGGUGGACAUGGAAAGUGGAGGAAAGAAGACAGAGGCAAACCUUUGAUCCACCACAAGGGUUUCCACUGCAAAGGUACUUCUGUGUUCAUAUCUCUGUCUGUAAAACAUAUCCACACACAAGCAUACAGCAUUUAUACAGAGCCCUUCCCCAUUUCCCAGGGGCAGGAUACCAAUAAAUGCAUCAAAACUCUCUGAUAGCUUGGCCCUUGGAGCCUUUAAAAUGCUUGGGAGAGAUUUUUGACACUUAACUUCUAUUUUUAAGAAAUGUGGUCUUUCUGUAAGGUGUUGCUUGUUGGGAGACAUUAAACUGAGCUGAAAUCCCCUUGCAACUUCAGUGUUUUGUGGGAAAAUAAUGUUCUUUCUGAUGAAUUCUGACUUUCUGUGGCAGUGCCAACAAAAUUCUAUUUUAUUUAUUAUUCUUAUUUUCUUUCCAACUGGGGUUACUGUCAGUGUCUAAUAAAGCUGCUAAUAAGCCUCUGUGACAAUUUUCUUCCUUCUGAGGUCUUGUUCUCAAAAGUGUGACAUCCCACUGGCUUUUCAACAUAUAAAUGAAAUGAUUUUGCUGCUCUUUGAUCCGCUGUAGUUUCCAAAUACCUUUAUGUUUUUAUCAAAUGGAUUCCAAGUGUUCAGCUACAUGAUUAUCAGGUAUUCAUUUAACCUUUUUGACACACCAAAAUGUCAAAUCCUUCAAGAUGACUUUUUGAAUACAAGGCUACAGAACUUCCUCUCAAAUUCUGUUGUGUCUUAACAACUCUGUGUUUCUGUUGUUUUAAACAUUAUGUAUGGCUUUAAAAUAAAACCAUACCCUGCCUAGCACUGAUCAUGGCUUGGGUUGAGAGGGACCUUGAAGAAAAUCUGUUUCCUACCCUCCCUGCCAUGGACAUGGACACCUUCCACUAGACCAAGCACAUCCAACCUGGCCUUGAACACUUCCAGGGAUGGGGCAUUCACAGCUUCUCUCGGCAAUCUGAGGCCUCACCAUCCUCUGGGUAAAGAAUUUCUUCCUGAUAUCUAAUCUAAACCUACUCUCAGUCUGAAGCCAUUCCCCCUUAUCUUGUCACUACAUGCCCUUGUAAAAAGUUUUUCUCCAUCUUUCUUGUUGUCUCCCUUCAGAUACUGGAAGGCCAAAAUUGUCGCCCAAAAGCUUUUUUUUUUUUCCCCCCCAGGCUGGACAGUCCCAAUUAUCUAUGUUUCUUCAUAGCAGAGGUGCUCCACCCAUCUAAUCACCUUGAUGGCCUCCUCUGGACUCACUCCAACAGCUCCAUGUCCUUCUUGUGCUGGAUCCCCAGAGCUGGAAGCAGCUCUGCAGGUGGGGUCUCACCAGAGCAGAGCAGAGGGGCAGAAUAAUGAACACCUCCUAAAGCCUCCCAGCUGUAUAGAGUAAGAUUGAGUUCCCUCCCAUGGGAAAUCCCUGACUGUAGCCAACCACAGAAGGAACAGGAUGUUGAAGAAGCUUGCUGGUAGGCAACUAAUAUCCCCCAGCUUAAAAAUUUAUCUUCUUCUGAAGCAUAAAGAACAACUCCUGACAUGGGGUAUGAACAGACUAUGAACCUUGGGUUUCUGGGGGCAAGGGAGAUAACCUGAUCUGAUGAACAAAACAGAGCAAUUCUGCAUGAUUUGGUAUCUGUCCAUUAUCUCCAUCAAUGAGCCCUUUCUGCAGUGCUGCAAAUGGCAUUCCCCUUUUCAGAGGAGAAAUCCAAACACACACGUAAUCUCCAGGCCAUAAUGAUAUUCAUAUAUUCAUAUCGAGACCAUGUCCCUCCAGCUCAGACUCUGGAUUAAUGUCACUUAAGAAAUUCCACAUUUGAAGUAUACAAUAAGAUUCUUCCUAAAAAUAAAAAUAAUAGCAAUUUCUAUAGGAUCGAUGUGUUGUAACAUAUUUUACUGCAAAGAAAAAAUAUACCUCUAUCAAGUAACUCCUAGGAUGGUUCUGCAGAGGAAAAUGGUUUUCUUUCACUUUAAUUUAUUUCAAUCAAGAGUAGAUAUCUUUCCAAAAAGUAUUACUUAUUUCAAAUAAGAAGGAGAAACUCAGUGCAGCAGUUGCUGGAUAGAAAUCAUGAUGGUUGGAUACAGUAGUCCCCUCUCAACUUGAAACUCCUGGGUGAGUUCCUGAUUUCACUAGAACAGAAGGGAAUGGGAUUGUACCUCAUCAAGUGAUGCCUUGUACAUACAGAAGAUAUACACACGUAUCUGCAUUUUAUACUACAUCAAAAUUUGAAACACAGUUAAUUUGUUUUGUAUCAUUUGGUACAGGAAGAACUCCAGAAUCAGCUGCAAGAGGCAAGUUCAACUACUGUUUUGAUGGAAAGUUGUCCAGCAGCAUUGCAGAUGGAUAAAGGUAGAAGUUGAUGAAAUGUUGGAGUUGAAUAAGAAAGGCCAGGGGAUACUAUCCACAAGCCGUGUUUCUGAACCUUGGUAACAGGCUCAGAGCAGGAAUCCAAGUAGGGCUGUUAGCGAGGAGGAGCAACGUGGGCUGAUUUUUGAAAAAAUGGGCUGAGAUCAGCUACACCUCUGCAUUUAGUGUCAAAGCAAAACUUCUCCGUCUGGGACUGUAGUAGGACAUAUUUUCACUCACUGGCAUAUUUACAGUCAUGGAAAUUACUGUCUAGGUUUGAAGAAAAGUGUAUAAAAUGUGUUGUAAAUGCAGUCUGUGUAUUUGUGUGUGUGUGUAUAUAUAUACAUAAAAUUUGGUUUGCAUUGACUAUAUGGUGUUUUAAACACCUGAACAUGAAAUGCACGCAGAUGGGACAUUUGGACCAUUGGCAACUGUUUUGCAUGACAGUGCAUCCAGUGAAAAGGGAACUACACAGGAGCUAAAUUCAGCAAAGGAGACCUGAAUUUUCCUACAGGCUUGGGUGAGAUAACUUGACCUAUGGAAAUAUCUUGGGCAAAAUGAGUGUGAGUCUGUGUGCAUCAUCUUUGCAAUCAAUAAAAUGGGGAGGCAGCAGCAUGCCCUGUGAAUAUAAUGAACUCUACAGUAACCAAAACCUUGAUGUCAGAGUUAGGAGGCUCAGUAUGGAUUUGUGCUGCAUGGUCUUAAGGAUGAGUAAAGGACACACUACUGACUCAAAAAGAGGAUUAGAACCUUCUCGUGCCUUUCACUGCUCCAGCAGGACAUUGCUAUUGGUGAAGUCUCUGAUUAAGAAGCAGUACUUGAGAGAUAACAAAUUUUCAGUGAUUACCAUGGGAACCACAAAUGAUUUCAUAAGGGUGGAGAAAUUAUAAAAAGUUCUAAUUGAGAGAGAUGAGGCUUAAAACAGUUUCUAUGGAAACCAGAGGUGGCAUCCAAAAAAAGUGUGUGUACUAAUCUGAUAGCCUGAUUGGCAGGUAAUUGGUGCAGUGUUGGAGUGGGAAAACCUUGAGAUGUGAGAUGAAAUGUCCAUCACAUAAAUAAAAAGCCACAUAGCCUUCUGAAGAAGAGCUGGAGCUUCAAACUCUUUCCCUCCCAGUAGAAUACACUUAUCACUCAAUUGGUGAAUCAUUUUCAUUCUUGUCUCUAUACUAAGUGACUCUCUCUCUUUUUUUUUUUUUUCCAUUGCAGUGUGAUAAACUUCAGCAGAGGUGAUGGAUGGAGCUGCUCCCUCACCUUUCCCAAAGGGUAGAAGUCAAGAAGGUUCUUUUAUAGACAGCAGACGUGAGCUCCAGUGUUUCUUUUCUCAGGCAGAAAAGAGAAAUGAACACAGACUUCCAGCCUUCAGUAAGAGCUCUGAACACUUGGAUGAGAUACUUGCCUGUGUUUUCCAGGACUUCAGGUUCUUCUAGCUGACUGGCCAACAUCCAGCCAAGCUCAUUUCACAGAGUUCAGAAGUUCUGAAAUACUUUUACUUGUCAGAUCACAGUGGAAAUCCCACAAACACAAUAUCUGAUAUGACAUGUGAAGUAACAUUCAGGCAUGCAGUAAACCAGAUAACCUGGUAUUUCUAUCUAGCAGAACUAUUUGCUUUUAGGGCAAGAGGAAAACUCUUGUCAAAAGAGUUUCGCGCAAGACACAGGAUGAGCAAAUCCAAUCUUUGCACUCUAUCAUGGGGCUACAGCCCAAGUACAUUACGAUAUCUUUCAGCUUGAUGCCUGAAGAAGGAAAAUAUUACUGUUGUCAAUGAAUUAGAUAAAUAGCAGGCCUUUGGCCAGCUGCAAGUUGCUGAAGUCCUCAGCAAAUUCUUUGCCAACUCAGUGGUUUGGCAGACACAUAUUUUCCUCCAGUAUUCUCUGAGCUCACCAAAUUCAUUUCUCUAUUCAGCAGAUGUAGACAAAAAAGCCCACAUUUAGAAACAUUUCAGAACUAUUUUAUGAAUCUAAGGUGUUUUGGAAGAAGAUAAUACUUUCUGUUGAAAGAUCUAGAAGGCUUGUCUUCAAUCUCUGUGGCACUGGGGUUCAUGGCCCCCAGUGCUGUCCAUAAGAAUGAUCUAAAGGAAGUACAGAAAAAAUGUUGGGAGAAAAAUCAUCCCUUAACCCAGUUUAGAUUAAUCCAGGGUCAAGCAUCACUCUGUAUUAUAUAUAGGACUAAGGUUAAGUGAGUCCCACACAUAACACAAAACGUUGCAGUGUCUGUCUGGAUAAUAAGCUUAAGUGGUAACCUUUGAGAAAUUCUGUCUUUAUAGUGUGAUAAAAAGUUUGUUUUCCAUAGACUGAAGGGCUCCAAGAAGCUGUGAGGAAUGUGGUGACAUACAUUUAAGGAAGACUCUUAGAAUAAUGCAAAAUUAAAAGUUGUCAUGCUACUGAAGAGGCUCUCAGGUGGUCACCCUGCAUCACGGUUCAGUGAAUCCAUCACUGCUGAUACCACAUCUUCUUUUUAACACUAUUUCACAAAAAAGGGGGCAGUGAACUAAACAGAGAAGCUGAAGAAAACAACAGACGUAGCCCAGUGCAAGAGCACUCAGGGCUCCAUCCUGCUCACUCAGCCUAGGUAAUUUUAGUGUUUCUUUUUUCCUCUCAGAAACUCUGCAUUAUUGAAUUGUUGUGUAUGUUUUCAUUCCCAUUGCUGCCAGUGGGCAAGGAGACAACCAGAGAAACAAACAGGACCCAGCCAUGCUUCUGGUUGGGUGAUUGCUCAUCUGCUGUUUUUCUGAUUCAGUGAUGGGUGGUGCUGGUCUGUGCCAUCUCUAUUAUGUACGAUGUAAAAUUUUCUGGCAACCAAAUCAUUAAUCUAUAUUUAAUUUAAUUUUAUUUCAUUUUGGGUCUUGCAAUUGCACUUCUCAGAAAAGCUGUCCAUGUGGGGGAAGGUGUGCAAUAACCUGAUUUAUACAUGUGUUCAAUGGAACACAAUAAUAAAAGUUUCUGCUUCACAUAGGUGAACAUUUCUGUGUGGGUUCUGCAGGUGAUGCUUCAUCCUUUCCAGUACAACAUGUCAGUAGUCUUAAGCCCCUCUGGAGACUCUCACAUUUCUUUUCUAUGCAAAGAAAAUGUUCCACUAACUGCAGAAAUAUCAGAGCUCUGUGGGUGCAAGAAAGACAUCAAUCCUCUAUCAUCAGGGACAGAAGACAUAAUUUACCAUUUUCAGGGGCCUAAAUGAAAGCUGGAGAGGAACUUCUGAAAAGAUCAGAGAGUGAUAGUACAAGGGGGAAUGCCUUUAAACCGACAGAGGGCAGGUUACGAUUGGGAAGAAAUUCUUCUCUGUGAGGGUGGUGCAGCAGUGGAACAGGUCACCCAGAGAAGCUGUGAAUGCCCCAUCCCUGGAAUUGUUCAAGGCCAGGUUGGAUGGGGCUUGGAGAAACCUGGCAUAGUGAAACAUGUCCCUGCUCAUGGCAGAGUGGUUGGAACAAGAUGAUCUUUCAACUCCCUUCUAACCCAAACCAUUAAAUGAUUCUGUGAUUAUGAGGAAUCAAGGAGCAAGAAUAACCACUGGGCCAAGAUUAGGUCUAAUGAAAUGAAGGAAAUUUUGCAGGGCCUAGACAGAAGAUACUUAGCCUUUGAAGAUUCAGAAAUGUUUGACUGGGUGCAGAGUAGGUUUUUAUUUCACUUAGGAGCAAAGUUUUGAGGGUGGAAUAAUACUUUGCUUGAAAACACAACCGUGCUGCUCCAUAGGGGUCAAAAAUAAAAAUCAGAUGUUGGAAAAAUGAGCUAACAUCAUAAAAGAGAACUUUGUCCUGUCUCUCUGUGACUCCACAUUGCUAACAUUCUUAUGGAUGUAUGGAAUUGUGUCCUGUCUGUCUCAAAAAUGUACAGUAGAACUGAAUAUCGUGGAAAGGGUGACACAGCAAGGGAUAACUGUAUGAGGGAUGAUUACAAGACUAAGAGUCUUCUCUCUCAAAAGGAAACAGCAGAGGAGGAAUUUUAAAGAGGCCUUUUAAAACCUGAGUGGUAUGGAAAAAAUGAUGGUUUACUUCAUGACCUCUUUCAAUACAAGGGCUAGGGGAUAAUAAUGAAACUAUCAGGCUUCAGAUUGCAGGUCCAGAGCAAACAAGAAGAUGCAGUCCCUCGUGUAAUGUAUAAUUAGGCUGUGAAAUCUCUUCCCAGGGGAUGCUGUAGAUGCUAAAAGUUUACGUGUGUUCAAGAAACUAUUAGGUAGAUUCAUAGAAGAAAAUACAUGCUAAGGACUAUUAAAUGCAUGUACACAAUGCCUGUCUCAGGAAUUCCUAGACGACAAUUCACUGAAGCUGGGCAAUGUUAGCACAUGCUGACUUAGUUCUUUCUCUUUCUUAGGAAUGCUCUUCUGGCCAGUGUCAGGGAUGGCAUAAUGGGCAGAAGGAAAUUUGGGACCCAACUUAAAAAGCUGUUGCCUCAUGAAAAGAAGUGGACUUGUGAAGCGGUGUAGCUCUGAGAAAGAUAAGAUGAAUGUGGAAUGUGGAGCAGAAGAAGGUGACACAGGACAAUGAUGAUCCACUGAUGAGAUAUGUAGAAGUACCAGAUCAGGAAGUAAACCUAUAACUUCCAGUGAUCUCUGUCAACACCUUUGCCCAAGAGCUGAGAGAUGCAAAUCGCUGCAAGAGCUGGGGCCCAGUGCUGUCAUUCCCUAGCCAGGCCUCAUAUGAGCCUGGAAAACUUGCUGUUGAUCCAUAUCCUCACCAGGAGAUGCUGAAUGGAAUCUGAUGGGAAUACAGAGCUGGACAAAAGUUUCUUGUGAGUAAUUUCUCAUGAGAACACAAUUCCCCACAAAGGAAAUUCCUUGUUUCUGCUAAAUUUAGUAGCAAUACUGCAAAGAGAGAACACUUGCCUCAUAUUAAAAAUUUUUGUUCUUCUCAAUCCAGUAGAGAGAGAGAAAUUCCCUAAGAUCUUACAAUCUAGAAGGUUGUUUUGAUCUUGUAUUAAGAGUAUAUAUUUGAAAAUUUCAGUGGUUUAUUGUCUGUGGAAUUGAAUGCAGUGAAUGGAUUGGGACAAAUUCUCAACAGGUGUGAACUGACCUUGACAACUGCAUUUUCUUCAGUUUCUGUCAGCUAAAAAUUCUGGUACGGCUUUGAGAUUAUCAUGUAGUGGUUUGAAAUCUUGUUUGUCUGAGGCUGGCCAGGGGGCAGUUUCAGGGAAAUCUAGUUCCCAUAGAUGUUAGACGGGUACUUGCGGAAGCAGAUUUGGCCUCUGUGUCUGCAUUGCUUUUGACUGAGGUUCCUGAUCUGCACAGGGUUCCUGUGAGCAGCCAUUCAAUGCUGUAACUUCUCUAAGAUGCAGUUUUCUCUCUGUAAGAUGAGGGUAGUAAUUUAGCACUGAAUUUCUCCUCACUCAAGUGAUGCAAGGAGAAAUCCAUUAAUGCAAGGCAUUUAGGUAAUCAGGUAAUGGUGACUAUGAGCAUCACAAGUACCUGGAUAUAGUCCUGCAGAGAGAUGCACUUAUAUUUAUAUGGAGAUAAGAGUCAUGCUUUUCUGUAUCUGCUAUGGAACCAUUUGACAUUCUGUGUUGAAAAAGCCCAAGACAGGGAAAUAAAUAUCCUAAUUGCAGUUCCAGAGAAGAAUCAUUUGGAAAUAAAGAAUGGAAAAUUGAAAAGUGCUGUUUUAACUUCUGUUGUCAUUUGUUCUGCCAAGCUAUGUGAAGGUUUUGAAAAAUAAAAGUGCUAUUUUGCGGCUCCUGCUCUCCCUCUGUAA